UUACGGCCAUAUCAUGUUUAAACACGGGUUCACAUACGAUCACCAAAGUUAAGCAAUAUUGAACCCUGUCAGUACCUAAAUGAGUGACCGUUUGGGAAUACCAGGAGCUGUAA